UACAGAGACUGCAAGCGUUAUUCGGAUUCACUGGGCGUAAAGGGUGCGCAGGCGGCCAGGUGUGUUAGGCGUGAAAGCCCGGGGCUUAACCCCGGAAUUGCACCUAAAACUACAUGGCUAGAGCAUUGGAGAGGGUAGCGGAAUUCACGGUGUAGCAGUGAAAUGCGUAGAUAUCGCGAGGAACACCAGAGGCGAAGGCGGCUACCUGGACAAUUGCUGACGCUCAGGCACGAAAGCGUGGGGAGCAAAAGGG
rnacentral:rRNA from 1 species